rnacentral:rRNA from 1 species
CCUACGGUGUGCUGCAGUGGGGAAUAUUGGACAAUGGGCGAAAGCCUGAUCCAGCCAUGCCGUGUGUGUGAAGAAGGCCUUCGGGUUGUAAAGCACUUUCAGUGGGGAAGAAAGCCUUGGGGCUAAUACCCUCGAGGAAGGACAUCACCCACAGAAGAAGCACCGGCUAACUCCGUGCCAGCAGCCGCGGUAAUACGGAGGGUGCGAGCGUUAAUCGGAAUUACUGGGCGUAAAGCGCGCGUAGGCGGUCUGAUAAGCCGGUUGUGAAAGCCCCGGGCUCAACCUGGGAACGGCAUCCGGAACUGUCAGGCUAGAGUGCAGGAGAGGAAGGUAGAAUUCCCGGUGUAGCGGUGAAAUGCGUAGAGAUCGGGAGGAAUACCAGUGGCGAAGGCGGCCUUCUGGACUGACACUGACGCUGAGGUGCGAAAGCGUGGGUAGCAAACAGGAUUAGAUACCCGUGUAGUC